rnacentral:rRNA from 1 species
AGGGGCAGCAUGAAAGGAACUUCGGUUCUUUUUGAUGGCGACCGGCGCACGGGUGCGUAACGCGUAUCGAACCUGCCUCAUACUCGGGGAUAGCCUUGCGAAAGUAAGAUUAAUACCCGGCGGUCUCGGAUGGCCGCAUGACUAUCCGAGUGAAGAUUUAUCGGUAUGAGAUGGCGAUGCGUCCCAUUAGCUUGUUGGUGGGGUAACGGCUCACCAAGGCAUCGAUGGGUAGGGGUUCUGAGAGGAAGGUCCCCCACAUUGGAACUGAGACACGGUCCAAACUCCUACGGGAGGCAGCAGUGAGGAAUAUUGGUCAAUGGACGAAAGUCUGAACCAGCCAAGUAGCGUGCAGGAUGACGGCCCUCUGGGUUGUAAACUGCUUUUAGUUGGGAAUAAAAAGAGGGACGUGUCCCUUAUUGUAUGUACCAUCAGAAAAAGGACCGGCUAAUUCCGUGCCAGCAGCCGCGGUAAUACGGAAGGUCCAGGCGUUAUCCGGAUUUAUUGGGUUUAAAGGGAGCGCAGGCGGCGGCGUAAGUCAGUUGUGAAAUCGUGCGGCUUAACCGUGCAAUUGCAGUUGAUACUGCGUCGCUUGAGUGCACACAGGGAUGUUGGAAUUCAUGGUGUAGCGGUGAAAUGCUUAGAUAUCAUGAAGAACUCCGAUCGCGAAGGCAUAUGUCCGGAGUGCAACUGACGCUGAGGCUCGAAAGUGUGGGUAUCAAACAGG